GAUGAACGCUGGCGGCGUGCCUAAUACAUGCAAGUCGAGCGAACAGACGAGGAACUUGCUCCUCUGACGUUAGCGGCGGACGGGUGAGUAACACGUGGAUAACCUACCUAUAAGACUGGGAUAACUUCGGGAAACCGGAGCUAAUAACGGAUAAUAUAUUGAACGGCAUGGAUCAAUAGUGAAAGACGGUUUUGCUGUCACUUAUAGAUGGAUCCGCGCCGCAUUAGCUAGUUGGUAAGGUAACGGCUUACCAAGGCAACGAUGCGUAGCCGACCUGAGAGGGUGAUCGGCCACACUGGAACUGAGACACGGUCCAGACUCCUACGGGAGGCAGCAGUAGGGAAUCUUCCGCAAUGGGCGAAAGCCUGACGGAGCAACGCCGCGUGAGUGAUGAAGGUCUUCGGAUCGUAAAGCUCUGUUAUUAGGGAAGAAUAAAUGUGUAAGUAACUAUGCACGUCUUGACGGUACCUAAUCAGAAAGCCACGGCUAACUACGUG
rnacentral:rRNA from 1 species